UACGAAGGGUGCAAGCGUUACUCGGAAUUACUGGGCGUAAAGCGUGCGUAGGUGGUUUGUUAAGUCUGUUGUGAAAUCCCCGGGCUUAACCUGGGAAUGGCAUUUGGGACUGCAAGGCUGGAGUACGGCAGAGGAGACUGGAAUUCCUGGUGUAGCAGUGAAAUUCGUAGAUAUUGGGAAGAACACCGGUGGCGAAGGCGGCGACCUGGUCCGAUACUGACGCUGAGGCGCGAAAGCGUGGGGAGCAAACAGG
rnacentral:rRNA from 1 species